UACGGCCACAUAGCGUUGAAACACUGGUUCCCGUACGAUCACCGAAGUUAAGCAACUUCGAGCCUGGUCACUAGGCUAGAUGGGUGAUCGUUUAGGAAUACCAUGUGU